rnacentral:rRNA from 1 species
ACGAGACUCCGUUAGUAGUGGCGAGCGAACGCGGACCAGGCCAGUGCCUUCAUUUCAACUAGCAGAACGGACUGGAAAGUUCGGCCAUAGCGGGUGACAGCCCCGUAUGCGAAAGUGAUGAUGAAGGACUUGAGUAGGGCGGGACACGUGUAAUCCUGUCUGAAUAUAGGGGGACCACCCUCUAAGCCUAAAUACUCGUGCAUGACCGAUAGUGAACUAGUACCGUGAGGGAAAGGCGAAAAGAACCCCG